rnacentral:misc_RNA from 1 species
AGGUUACUCAGCGCGAGAGUCGCUUGACGCCAUUUCGUCAGUGUUACUCGCCCGCGCGGCAUCGACUCUACCCAGCUCGCUUCAACCCCUUAGGCUCCUGCACCCUUCUCUCAAGCCCGAGACCUAACCGUUACACGAAGAGCUACUUCCACUUCGUCCCCAGUUCGUCGAUCGAUAGAACUCGAUAACCCCCAUUCAAAAUGCCCCGUGCCCCUAAAACCGAAAUCUGACGCGUUUUCGCGAACCCCAUCAACAGUACACGUGUUCAUGUAUCGAGUUGCAAACGUGUAUAAUACGUUCUAUAAGCUUUUCGUACCCUUAUCUGGGUUUCCAUCCUUCAUUAUCGUCGUUAUAAUUUUAUCGGGAAUACUCCGUGAGUGUGAAGAACGGCGAGGCGAGCGCGCGUGUAGAGUCAGCGAUCCGGUUAGGCCUAAAUACACGGGCGUCGGGCGACCGCGCGAAAUUUUUGCAAAGAAAUCGGCUUUUUAAUUCCAUUAAAAAUCUUAUAGGCCUAUUUAAGGAAUGAACGUUUUGGACCCUCUGGACCCUGGACUUUGUGAUUGUAGUGACUUUUCGCCAUAAUUAUCGAUUAAUUUAUGAUUUUUAAUCGUUUUUGUGAAGUGCGAGUGGUGUACCGCGGAUCGCGGAAACUGAGUGCUAAGGAAACUUUUGCCUUUGGAUAUUUUUGUGUGAUGUACCUCAUUUAUGUAUUGAAACAGAAGCACUAAUAUGGUAAGUUUAUUUAUAGCAAUAACGGUAGGAGAGAGGUACGAGCAGAUAGUUUCUUUCUCUCUUUCCCUCAUAGCCAGUUACGUUUUGUAUAUCUAAGAAACCAUUUCUUAGAUAUAGUGGGAAUUUGGGUAUGAUGGGGCUGGCAUGUCUGUGUAGAC